CACAAAUGAUGACCACAUCCUUAAUUGAACUCUCUCACUGAUAUUUGAUGAGAAUCUAAGGUCUGAUGC
rnacentral:snoRNA from 1 species